GAUGUACUCCCUCCGUUCGGAAAUACUUGUCAUCAAAAUGGAUGUAUCUAUAACUAAAAUACAUAUAGAUACAUCCAUUUCAAUGACAAGUAUUUCCGGACGGAGGGAGUAUAUG
rnacentral:pre_miRNA from 1 species